rnacentral:piRNA from 1 species
UGGGCUGACACUCAGCUGUUGUGUGUUG